rnacentral:rRNA from 1 species
CACGUAGGGCGCGAGCGUUGUCCGGAAUUAUUGGGCGUAAAGAGCUCGUAGGCGGCCUGUUGCGUCCGCUGUGAAAGCCCGGGGCUUAACCCCGGGUCGGCAGUGGAUACGGGCAGGCUAGAGGUAGGUAGGGGAGAAUGGAAUUCCCGGUGUAGCGGUGAAAUGCGCAGAUAUCGGGAGGAACACCGGUGGCGAAGGCGGUUCUCUGGGCCUUACCUGACGCUGAGGAGCGAAGCGUGGGGAGCGAACAGG